GCCGGGCGCGGUGGCUCACGCCUGUAAUCCCAGCACUUUGGGAGGCUGAGGUGGGCGGAUCACCAGAGGUCAGGAGUGCAAGACCAGCCUGACCAACAUGGAGAAACCUUAUCUCUU
ensembl:misc_RNA Metazoa_SRP Metazoan signal recognition particle RNA